ensembl:lncRNA
CAUGUGGGCUGGAAUUGUAUAUUUCCCUUCCCCAUGUCAGUUAGGCUCUAACAGUAUAGCAGGUUAGAUUUGGUUAUUAGUUUCUCCUGAGGCAGACCUUAUUAAGAACAGAGUAACCUGGCAUAUUUCCAAAUUGUUCCUUUUCCCUUCUUUUUGCAGGAAGCAGAGGGGCUUCUUUCUUCAGUGUUUACUGUGGGAACCUGGUCAACCUCCUGGAAGUAAAUCUCCCAAUAUUGCAGGGUACCCCCUUCACCAGCAGCUGGUUCUUUAUGAAGUUUUUAACUCUCAAGAGUUGGCCACACUGGGCCUUCAGCAACUCGUCAACUGCAGUUUCAGUUUUCCUACCAUGGGAUUUGUUCCUGGGGCAGCUUCAUUCUUGAGUGUCUGCUCUGUCACUACUGAGACCCCGUGGACUGUAGCCUGCCAUGUUUCUCUGUCUUUGGGAUUUCCCAGGCAAGAAUACUGAGGCUGCUCCAGCAAAGCGCAGCUGCUGCUCCUUACCUUGGAUGAUGUCACCCCUCCUGAGCUUGAAUAUGGAGUAGCCCCUCUCAGCCCUCCUGCGCCCGCGCAGCUGCCACUCUUUGGACAUGGGGUAGCUCCUCUUGGC